GGCAUCAGGGUCCAGAAGCAUUGAAGUUACCAGCAACCUGAUCUUGGCUAUGGUGGGUUAGGGCUUCUAUUCUACCCCUCUUUCUUCUUCUCGGUCUAACCCAUUUGUGUGCCCAUCGUGCGAUAAUUGGCGUUGUCGAUUUUAAUUGCGCGUGUCCCGUAGUUUAUUGUGCCCUUGAGGAAGGUAGCGGGCGCUGAGGAUGCGGGAUCCCGAAUCGCAGAUAGCAGAGCAAGGAGAGUAUAUCUCUGAGUGUGCGGUUAAUCUAGAGGGUUCACACUCACAGCGAGGACUUGACGACGAUUUCAGGACUGUGCGGAGAUUGGAAAAGCAGAGGAAACGAGGUGGGACUGAAGACCGGAUUUGAACUGGGGGAGGAGAAAGGAUUCUUGAGAGGCUGUGUUGACAUCCGGAACGCCGCCUUGCAGAAGCAUUCUGUAGCGUUCCCACCUUAGAGCUCAGCGAAUCGUUCGUGCAACUCCAGGUUCACUGUCUUCAGAAUCCUCAGGUCGAGAGGCUCCAAGAUUCGCUUGAUUCUUUACGAGCUAAAUUGCAUCUUUUAAUAUCCAUACCGCCAAGUCAACUCGAUUACAAGGGUUUGGCUAUGGUGAAGCACGCAGAGAGGUCGCUAUUUUGAACGGAGGAUGUUCCUUUGUUAGUUCACAUUUAGAAAACUGUUAAGAGCACGGCGUCUGCCGUUCGGAAAGAUCCAUGGCACAAGUUAACAGGACUUCGGCUACUGCAACUGAGACCUUGCAAUUGCACGAACCAAGCACGUCCGAGCAUCCUCCACAGGUACAGACAUUGACUUUACGAGUGGCACCUCAAACGAAGAAGAAAGUUUCUUGGAGAGAAGACACCGUUGAUAAUGAACACAUGAUGAAGAAAAAGUCCAAAAUAUGCUGCAUAUUUCAUAAGGAUGAUGAUUGUGACAGCGAUGACGGAGAUGAUAGUGGAGACAAGGGGAAGGGUAAGGAUCAUGAUCAUGAUCAUCACCAUGAAUGUAAUCAUUUCCAUGAUGACGCCAAUGGCUCAGAACAGCUCCCUGAACACGGUUCAACGUCCAGUUCGUAGAUAGCGCAGCAAAACAAUCUGACAAAGUGUUUGCUUGGGGUGUUGCCGAGUUUGUGAAGCGGUUCAGUUGAAGAAGUUGAAUGGAACCGGCCAUUGAAGCAAUUGAGACCACAUUGGUGAACCCUCCGAUAAAUGCAGGGUCGUAUACGAUUGACAGUC